ensembl:lncRNA novel transcript, antisense to DSCR3
GUCGGUUGCAGCCUGCGCAGGAAGGAUGACGCUCCCGUCAGGCUGUGCGGCGCAGACGGUCGCCCAAUGGAGUUGUCUUUCAGGAGGUUUUAACUUGGCCAGCAGUGAUGGUGCUGCAGCUACAAUUGCAUUUGAAGGUUAAUAAAUGGUAUUUUCAAAUA